CUUGGGAGCCGAGUAGCCUCCUUCCUGUUUCACAUCUGGAAGACCCGGAAACUUACUCUUCUCCCAACUGGCAAAAUCUUUAAUCAUUUUUCCAAUAAGAAAUUAAGGGGAUAUAGUCUUCUAGUCUAGCUGGAGUCGGAGGCAAAUCUAGGGUCUACCAAUCUGCCAAAUCAGUUUGGGGUUCAGGGCCUGCAAGUGGCCAGCUCUGCGCCCCUUGCCAAGAAAUCAGGGCGCAGACUGGAAGGUCGGCCGCCAUGGGGAGGGGGAUGCAGAAGGCUGUCCAGGAGGUUGCCCUUUCUCUGGCUCCCAGAUAAGCUCCAGCACUAUUGCUGGAAGUCCCAAAGUCCCUUUAAAGGGAACUGGCCUCAGUCUUGUGAAAGACCCCUCAGGAAACAGUAAGAUCCCAUAGCCCUGGACAGGUGGGAACUCCCCUAGGAGUUUUGGUCCGGGCACCUGAGAACUCCCUGGUUAAUAUGGGAAUGGAGCAUGCUUCUGAAUUGUGGGAAAUUUAUUCUAAAACUCAUAUUCAAAUGGUAAUUUUGGGGGGGCAAAUUGAAUGAAAUUGAGGGAAGAAAGACCAGAUCACUGCAAUUUAAAGGCUUUGAAAUGGCUUUUAGAGAACUGCGUGCACAAACCUUCUGAUUAAGCCUUCAGUAAGAGAUAAGGCCAGCCAAUACAUCUGGUUUGUUGUUUUGUCCCGUGGUCUUCUGCGCCUGGAAGAUGACUAAUAGGCAAGCUCCUCCUUGUGUUAGUCAGCCAGUUUGUGAGCCAAGCCUCCUGCCCCGGAGUGGAGAACUCCCUCUUUAUCGCCUUCUGCCCCUCCCGAAAGCUUUGCAGGAGAAUCUUUGUCUUGUGAGGUUUGAAGCUUCUGCCAAAGAGAAAACUGCAAGUGGCCAGAAAGACCACUGUAAAAAAGCAGCUGCUGAAGACUUGGGAAUUCUGGGAAAGGUUCUGAAAAUUUCCUAUCUGAAGGAGAGUUUCCUUCCAGCUUUGUGUCAGCUGAUGCUUAACUGUCCCCGGAAGACACUUUCUGUCACUUUAGCCCUGACCAUGUAGGAAUUAUAGAGAGAAAAUCAGGAUUAAGGGUUAGGGUUAGAGUCUGGAAGCAUUUAGGGUUGGGGUUAAUGAAAUUCGUAGCGUCAUAAACCAGAGACUAAAGUUGUAAUUGGCACGGAUGCAAUAGUUUUCCUAUAAAUCUCCAAAUUGUGCUAGAUGCUAAAAAAAAAAAAAAAUCUUAGUGGACUUUGAGGGUUUGAAGAUCAAGAUCUGCACUUCUGGAGGGAAGAUUUGGAAUUGUGAAAGGAUCUGAGAAAGAUCAAUUCCUUUGAGAGAAGCAGAUUUGAGAAAGUCGCCCCUUUUGGUUCUCUGAAAAGGCACUUAGCAGAAGCUUAACAAAGGCAGAAAUAUCUUGGUUUUGGGGUACCACCCUGGAAUUUAUCAGUAAGACUUAGAGAUACAAAUAGCCCUUGUGAUGGAGAGAGCCAUCUGCAGCCAGAAAGGACCGGGGGGACUGAAGGUGGGUCACCCCAUAGGAUUUAAAAAAAAAAAAAAAGCUACAGGGAAAGAGCAUUUAGGCUUCUCUUGUACUCACAUGAUAGCUUUGUUGUCUGGAGAUUGACAGGCUUGUUUCGGUGAAAAGGAGGAAGAUGAUUUCUAGUUUCCAGUUUAAAUUUAUCUGGUACUUAAGAACUUCCUGUUAGUAACUCUUUUCUAGAUCAUGAAAAAAAAAUGCUUGUUAAAAUUAGGGAAAUAGCAAAUAGUAAAAUUUAAUUAAGGACCGGAAAGGGAGAUUUGUAAAAAAUCAAUAAAAAACAAAGAAGGGUCCCACACUGGGCCCACACCCUUUUGAGGAGAAUGGGAAUGGCCAAGAACCAUGUAUUAUUGGGGGAAGCCACCAGGAACUAGUAAUGUCUUUUAGGAAGACUGAAGUAGGACUUGCAAAACCUUACCUAAAAUCUGUAGGACGGUAGAGCCCACUAACACCACCAGGAGUCCCAGUGGGAGUGUGGGAAAAGGUUUCUUUCUCAUGAGAAAGGGUGUGCGGCCUCUCCAAGUGAGAGACCCCCACGAGCAAGGGGCAAUCCCUCUUUGUUGCCUUCCCUGACCCCAGUGUUUGGGAUUUCUUAAAAAUGGAAGGUCAAAUGCUUAACUGGGCAGGGGACUUCCCACUCAAUGCAGCCCCUGCCCCCAUGAGCUUCCAUUCUUCCCUCCCCCUUGGUACUCUUUGAUGUCCUUGUGGGUUUCAAAUCUUCAAUUUCUAAAUUUCACUUCUCCCGUCUAAUUUUCAUGCCUGGAAGCCAAAUAAAUGUCCGUCCAUUUUUCACAAAAAAAAAUGAACUGUUUAGGUAAAUAGAAGCAAGGCCACUGAAGGAAAUAGGGAAAGAUCAGGCACCUGGAAGUUCUUAAGAGCCUGAAGAGGGAGUCAUACUGAAGUUAACCAAGAUUGUAAAAAAAAGGUGCUAAGUUACAAAGAAGUGAAGACUGGUUGCUUAGAUAGCCUGGAAAAUGACUGGGAAAUCUGCCUCCUUUUGGCCAUUUCAGGGUCUCUGGGAGCAGCCUUCGUUUCAGGUCAGUAACCACCACACGUGCAGCCACGGUCCCAGCCCAAACCCUUUCCUGCCUCCUUCGAAGUCCUGUCUCCCUCACUUGGGGCUGGGCGGCUUUCUGGAGGCCUUCCGGAUGUCGGUUCCAGGAGGAGAGCCCCUGCCACCACGGUCUGUCUCCCGAGUCCCCACGCUGGCUGAGCUUGUCCCGGCUUGCACCCUCGUCAAAGGUGGGGAUCUAGUGGCACUCUACUAAGUCCUGAGUACAUGCGCUGAGCUAGACAGCUGCUAACCCGGCUCAACAACCGCCGACUUAGCUCCCUGUCUCAGGUCCCGGCCCCUAACAGGUGUGUCCCCAGCUCUACAAAGUUCUUGGAGCAUCUCCCCACUUCUUGCCCUGCACUAAAAUGGGAGAGCUCAGGGAGGGGUGCGCGUGGCGCUGGGUCAUGAACGCACGGGAUUGUGUCUGAGGGUUUUGGUGAUUUAUAUCGAGGUUUUUUAAUUUUUAAUUGUCUUACUUAGUAUUUCUGCCCCAAAUUACGGAUAAAGAACAGGAGCCGCGGCAAACGGGGACCUGAUAACGCGGUGACGCCACAAGGCUCUGGCCCCGUCGGCGACCGGCGCAGCCGGGUCUCGGGCCGCCACUCCCGUCGCUCCCAGACACCGGACACCGCGUCCGGGGUGCCCCUUAAACCGCCAGGGCGCCUGCUGGGGAGGCUGCGGGGGGAGGGGCCGCGACGCGGGGCGGGGUCUGACCACGCCCUGUGCCCGAGGAGGAGCAGCGCUAAGGGAGGCCCCUGUCAGUACACCGGGCGGGGGCGGCACGAGGCUCUGAGGCAGCUGCAGGAAGGGCGGUAGGGCACGUAGAGGCGGCCACCAGGGGGCGCAGGGCACGGAGCGCCGGCCCGGGGUCAGGAGGCGUUGCCCCGCGGCUCAGGGAAAGCAGAGAGGAAGCGCUGGGACUCUUCUCACGCCUCUGUCCGCGCGGGGCGCCGGGCACAUCCAGGCCGGGCCGGGCCCCCGCGGCGCCGUCCGGAGGCCGGAGUCGGGCUCUGACGCACAGCACCGCCCGUUCCCGCCCGGGGCGCUUCUGAGAGACCCGGGGGCCCGUUCUCGGCCCGGCCUAUAGGUAGCUGUAGACUCCUGCUUUAGCCCGCUGCUGGCAGCGCCCGGGGGAACCCCCGCAGUGCCCGGGACGCCGCUGCUGCCACCGGGGCCGCGCCGCCGGAUCGGGCUCCCGCCGGCCGUUCUGAGCCCGGCAGUGUCGCGCUGGAGCCGCGCCGCGGGGGCCCCGCCCCGGGAACGGGAGGGGCGUCCCAGAGACGGUUCUCGGACCCGAGGGGACACUGGCACCCUGCGCCGCCCUGGGCGGAGGCCGGGGGUCCGAGCGGGAGCGCGGAGGCGGGACCGAGGGAGGGGGGGGGGCGGGAGUUCUGCGCCCCCUGGGGGCCCGGAGAGGAGGGGCGGGAGCCCCGGGGGCCGGGGAAGGGGGGCCCAGAGGCUCCGGGGGAGAGGGCGAGUCUGUGGGAUAAAGAAAAUACCCCAGGGGCGGGGGAGUUCCCAGUGGGGGGCGCCCGAUGGGCGCGCUGGGCACCAGGCCCUCCGCAGGGCCGGCGUUCUGGCCUCUCUGGUGGGGGGGGGGGGGGGGGGGGGGGACGGCCGGGACCUCCCACGCCCCGCCCCCGCCCCGCCCUCUGUCCUGACCCCUUUGGGCGUAGACCCCGCAAGGGUCACGGGCGGCCCCAGGGCCACCCACUCAGUGACUCCAUUUUCCGGGGAGCAGAGGUCAGGGUGCGAGAGCGCCGGCGCCUGAAGCCGGGGAACGCCCCGCGCCGAGGCCCGUUUCCCGGCAAACCCAGGAGGUGGCGCCAGAGCCCCACGUUCCGCCCGAGCGGCCCGGCUUCCUUCCGGUGGCUGAGGGAGGGGGAGGCGGGUCCGGCGCGUCUCUGGGGCCCCGAGAGGGUAGAAGUCUUCCCGACCCCUGGGCCGCCCCUCUCGAGGGCGUCCCGGGGGCUCUGUCUGUGCCCCCCCCCGCCCCGCCCCGGCCCCCC
rnacentral:lncRNA from 1 species